rnacentral:lncRNA from 10 species
AAACAACCUGCAUAUUCAGCACAUGUAUCCCAGAACUUACAGUGGAAAAAAAAAAAAAUACAAAAAAAGAACAUACAUCAUUCCUUAAGAGUAACUAUAGCCUUUAUGUAAAAUGAGUUCUCUUUAAUUCAGUGUAGCAGUGUAGUCCUUGAAUUUUUUUAUUGCCUUAAAUACUGAGGGUGAGUUUUAUUUACUAUUUAUUACCCAUUUAUUUUCUUGUAUUAGGUUCAAUUCAUUCAUUGAUAUUAUUUGACUGGCCCUGUAGGCAUUUUAUUCUGCAAACACUUAUGACAAGGCUGAUCAAUUUGCAGACCAGCCAAAUAUCUGCAGGAUGCCUACGGUUCCCCUCGUAUCUCACAGGCUGCAUUCUUUGGAAUAUUCUGUGUGCAUGAAGCGAAUUAAUAUAAGACGAGAAAAUCGGCUCUGUAUUUAAAACAUAAAAUAGAUUGUUAACGGGAAACUUUUGUUAGAUGAAUGCAUUUUAAGAAGGGUAGCCAAAAUCUGUGAAAAUUAUUAUAUAACACACAUAAUUUUUAGAAAAUAAUAUUUAAUAACUGAACUAGCUUUUGAAAACAUUUUAAGGAGGUAACAUGCAAAUAAAGUAGUUGAGGGAAAAAAUAACUGUGGCAAUUCUUUAACAAAAGCUUUGUUUUGUUUUUAGUAAAUAUACAUCUGGCUAUUCAGAAUUUUAAAAUAGGAAUGGUAAAAAAUUUCUUGUAGUUCAUUAUUAUCUUUUCAUUGUUUCUUAUGACACAUCUCAUUUUCUACCUUUAUUAAAGGUACAUGAAUCUCUUUCAUUUCCCCUGUAAAACUGUAAACUUCUUGUGGAGAAGAGUCACGUCUUUUUCAUCUUCUUGUGUGUCCCACCCCAGGACUUUAAUUAGUAAUCUAGCACAUGGUAAACACACGUAAAUGUUUGAAGAAAAUAAAUUUCAUAAAAAUAAAAGAUGUUUUCGUUUUUUUCAGGCAAAGCACUGGCAUAUUGAAAACUACCUUUUCCUUCCUAAAAGAGAUACUAAUUUAGUGGAAAGUGAUAUUCAAAAGGAAAUUUCUUUAUUUUCUAAGGAGGAAUCUUGUUUAGACCCAACAGAACAUUCUCUACUUAACAAGAAAAACAAAGAUGACUCAACAUACAAUGUCAGACCAUCAGAAGAUAUAAAUUUAGGCAUAAAAUAUAAGGAAAGAAGUACCUGCAUGAAAGAAACACAAAAACCUUAUUAUGGUGAAGUUAUAAAAAAAUCAUUCAGUGCAUUUAGGUCAUUAAGCAUUGGAGUCCUGGAAGAGCUGCCGGAAGUGAAUAAACCUGCUUUCCUUCUAGACCCUGAGAAAUACUUUAGGAAAGAGCCAGAGGAGGAGCAUCCCCAAAUUCCAGAGGCCCCAUCACUUUUUGAAACUUUGAAAGCUGUAUUUGAUGAGAAAAACCUGUUUCCCAAGGAAAUUCUGGAUCAUGAACGAAAAGCCAAGCAAUUACGCCAAGAAAAAAGUUGUGAAGUGAAGAAAAAUAAGAAGUAAUUAUAAUAGAAAAAACUUCAUCGUCACGUAAAGUACAUAUAUAAAAUGCAGAAAAAGCAUCAAGAAUUCUGCCUUUUAUUUUAUAUUUGAACUUCAGGAAGUUUUGUCUUCAUGGGAUAAUUUAGUACUGCUCUUAUCCAUCAUCUUUCAAUUUCUCUGUAUUCUUAAUAAAAUAAAUAUUGAGCUAAAGUUGGAGCAUCAUCUUGGUAUUUAUUCUCAAGAAUUUUUAUAUAAAAAAUUUACGAUUGCAGAACAAAGUUCUAACGAGUUGCCCUUCUGGUUGUUCCUAUAGACAAAUAUUUUUGAUCAAUUUUCAUUGUAAAACCUGCAUUGAAAUAUAUGAAAAGUACUGAUACAGUAAAUAUCUACAAAUGUGAAUAAGAAAACUGUUUCCACUUUUUUACACUUUCUAGUGCUUUUUAAAUAAUUCUCAUAAUGGUAAUCAGACCUUGUCAAUAGCACCACUUCUUGUUAGUUCCUAUUGGCUUUUAUUCAUUCUAUAAGCUUAUUGGGAAAUUACUGCAUAUGAUCUACUUCAAUAGUUCAUUAUACUGUACUUUAAAAUUGAAUGUCUGCACAUUGUGCACAUGUACCCUAGAACUUAAAGUAUAAUAAAAAAAAUUGAAUAUCAUAGCACAUCAAAGAGGUAAUAGUCUUGAAAAAAAAUCAAAGGGCCUGGGGUUAUAUAAAUGACCCACUUUAUGUGGAAAGUCAAGUGGGAAAUAUUUGGUUCUGCAACUUACUGCCUCUGUUUGUUGACCCAUUUUUAUUUAUAAAUAUAAUCAUGUUCCAGGCAACUAAUAUUAUUAUUCUGCUUUAUUUAUUGUGUCCUAUAGAAAGAAUUGGUAAAUUCAUUUACAUAACUAUAAUGACUUACUGUAUAUUUAUAUUUUAAAGAGUCCUUUCAAAACAAGCUGUAGUCUAAGAAGAAUUUUUCAAUAAUACAUGUAGUAAAGGAAAAUAAUUUGCAAUAUGUAGGGGACCACUUGGUAUAGCAACUGCAAAUGUCCAUUGUGUUUAAACCACACAAUAAUCAUAUGAAUAUAUUAGCUUAGAGCUAAAAUAUGAGAUAUGAAUCUAUUUGGAGAGAGCUCAAUUAUCAAUGGCAGAGUUGAGAUCGGAGCCCAGGUCUGUUUUACUCCCAAACCGUGGUAUUUGUCAUUUAUCAUUUGGUUCACUUGCUUCUUAAUAGUAUAAAGCCAUUGGAAUGAAUUCUAACAAUAGACUUUCCAGCACCAGUGGAACAAAUAUUUUUGUUUGGUGGAGAAGGCAGUGACGGAAAGAUUUUCAGAAGACAGCUGCCUAUUCUAACUACAUUGAAGUGCAUUCUGAGUUAGGCAUUACGACUGCUAUUCAUAUCACCUUCCCUCCUCAUGGAAUGAAAAUUACAUACAGGAAAGACUGUAGGAGAAAAGUAUAUUUGUCUCUGUGUGUGUGUGCAUGUGUGUUUGUUUGUCUGUUGGGUGGUGUGAUGAUGUAGGAGAGUGUCCUUGUUUUAGAAAAAUAUAAUAAUAGAAUGUUUAUGUAUGAUAGAAAUUAUGUUUUCAGCUUGCUAUAAAAUGAUUCAGAAAAUACUAAUUAUAUGUAUAUAUAAAAUGUAUAUAUAUACACACACAGGUAACACAUAUACAUAUCUAUAUUUACAUCUGUUUGUUGAUUG